AGCGGUCUGUUGCGCAUGCGCAUUUGACUCGCGUAUAAGCAGUACCUUCUCCCGCUUCCCGCUACUUGAAGUUUGGCUGUUAGCUGUAUCGGUAGUAGCAGCAAGCAGCCAGAUACAAACGAGAAAAAAUUUUCUCCCGCACCCUAGCUGCCAGAUUCACUCUUGCACAGAGUUGUAGUGGGGAGGGGGUUAACCUCCACGCGACCCGUGUUUACGUUAAGUGAUUUCGCUGCUUCUCUUCGUGUACAGCUCCCAUAUCAAAUGAAAACAAAACGGAUAUCAGUCUCACCACAAAAUGUCUGCAAUUGGUAGCUACAUUUUGGACACCCUGAGAAGAAAAUAGCAUUUAAUUCCAAUGACAAAUAACUAGCAACUGGAAAUUCGUUUGUUGAUUUGCACCAUACCUUUCGACUUGGAGUAACAACAAUCAGAGAAAUUGUAAGAAGAGUAUGUUCAUCAAUCUGGAUUACCUUUAAAGAUGAAUGUUUGUCAGAACCUACCAAAAAUGAUUGGUUACAAAUAGUAAAAGAUUUUGAAACUAAGGCCAAUUUCCCAAACUGUCUCGGUGCUGUUGAUGGAAAGCAUGUGAGAAUGGUGAAACCAGCAAACAGUACAUCAAUGUUUUUUAACUAUAAGAAAUAUUUCUCUAUUGUAUUAAUGGCUGUUAGUGAUGCAAACUACAAAUUUGUCGCUAUGGAUGUUGGAUCGUAUGGUAAAUGUGCUGACUCAACAAUAUUUCAACAGUCAGUGUUCUAUAAGCGAAUACUGUCUAAUAACUUGGACAUUCUCAGUCGCACAGCAUUCUGUGUCCAUAGGCUGGUCUCCGAGUUGAUAUGAAAAAAAGUAUUUAAUUAUCGUCAUUGUCAAGCAAGACCUUCAGAGUGCACUUUCGGGAUAAUGGCAAAUAAGUGGAGGAUCUUUCACAGGCCUCUGAAUGUAGACGUUGAUUUCGCUAUAGACAUUGUAAAGGCAUGUUGUAUUCUACACAACUUCGUACGAAACAGAGAUGGUGUACAAUUGAUACAUUGUAUGGAUAUCCUCGAAUUCAUGAGGAUACUCCACAACCAAUAUUCAGGCACAGAUCCAAUUCAUACUACAGAAAUGUUUUUGCCGAUUACUUUGCACAUGAAGGCGCU